rnacentral:rRNA from 1 species
UAGAUACCCUGGUAGUCCACGCGGUAAACGAUGGAUGCUCGUUGUUGGCCCUUAUGGUCAGUGACCAAGCGAAAGCGUUAAGCAUCCCACCUGGGGAGUACGCCGGCAACGGUGAAACUCAAAGGAAUUGACGGGGGCCCGCACAAGCGGAGGAACAUGUGGUUUAAUUCGAUGAUACGCGAGGAACCUUACCCGGGCUUGAACUGUGGCGGAACGAUUCGGAGACGAUGAGGCCCUUCGGGGCUGCCAC